CCUGACCAACUUAACAUCAGAGGAUAGUGGGAGCUACACCUGUGAGUGUUCAGAUUCUGGUGGGACAUAUGUUCUCCAUCUGAAUAUCACUGUGGAAGAGGACGACGACGCCAGCAGCUCAGCACAAAUUCUAACUCUAAUCCCAAGCGUGUUGAUCGGUACAGGUAUCGUCAUCAUGAUCAUGAUCGCUGGAGUUAUUUUGGGGUUAAUCUGCAAAAGAAUAUGUUGUGGCAAAUAUCAGUUGAGAGAUGGUUCAAGGUCAACAACAUCUGGAUUACCAGUCAGUGAAACUCCUUUGGUGAGAGAUG